rnacentral:rRNA from 1 species
UACGGAGGGUGCGAGCGUUGUCCGGAAUCAUUGGGCGUAAAGAGCUCGUAGGCGGCUCGGUAAGUCGGGUGUGAAAACUCGGGGCUCAACCCCGAGACGCCACUCGAUACUGCUGUGGCUUGAGUCCGGUAGGGGAGCGUGGAAUUCCUGGUGUAGCGGUGAAAUGCGCAGAUAUCAGGAGGAACACCGGUGGCGAAGGCGGCGCUCUGGGCCGGUACUGACGCUGAGGAGCGAAAGCGUGGGGAGCAAACAGG